rnacentral:rRNA from 1 species
UACGUAGGGUGCGAGCGUUAAUCGGAAUUACUGGGCGUAAAGCGUGCGCAGGCGGUUCGCCAAGUCAGGUGUGAAAUCCCCGGGCUUAACCUGGGAAUUGCGCUUGAAACUAGCGGGCUUGAGUGCGGCAGAGGGGGGUGGAAUUCCACGUGUAGCAGUGAAAUGCGUAGAUAUCAGGAGGAACACCGAUGGCGAAGGCAGGUCUCUGGGCUGACACUGACG